rnacentral:lncRNA from 1 species
AGGUGAUCACAGGAUCUGGUUUGCCACUGAAAGGAAUCUUGAUGCUGACCACUUCACCUCGGAGAGCAUGAACUGCUCCCAUGCCUUCAAGAGUUUUAGUGGGUAACCAGGAUGGAACUGCGGUGUUGCUUGCAGGAGAAGCUUACUACUGGUUUCUACUUCUCCAACCUCAUUGGUGGCUAUGCAGGCACUGUCUCCAGACUGUCUAUAUUCAACCCAGUAUCCAAGAAUUUCUUUACCACCAUCACAUUCAGGUUUCUCCCACUGUAGAGUGACACUAUCUUUGGAUAUUGAAAGAAUCUCAAGUUCUCCUGGUUGGCUUGGUUUAUCUGAAAUAUUUUAAAAUAAUGAAAAGGGAGUCAGCUUUACUGGUGAAAUAAAAGGACCAAACAUGGCUUGCUUCUUUAAUUUA